GCUCGUCGGGCUCAUAACCCGAAGGUCGAAGGUUCGAAUCCUUCCUCCGCAACCA
rnacentral:tRNA from 1 species